rnacentral:rRNA from 1 species
GAUUCGUCACACUAUCAUUAACUGAAUCCAUAGGUUAAUGAGGCGAACCGGGGGAACUGAAACAUCUAAGUACCCCGAGGAAAAGAAAUCAACCGAGAUUCCCCCAGUAGCGGCGAGCGAACGGGGAGGAGCCCAGAGCCUGAAUCAGCAUGUGUGUUAGUGGAAGCGUCUGGAAAGGCGCGCGAUACAGGGUGACAGCCCCGUACACAAAAGCGCAUGUGCUGUGAGCUCGAUGAGUAGGGCGGGACACGUGGUAUCCUGUCUGAAUAUGGGGGGACCAUCCUCCAAGGCUAAAUACUCCUGACUGACCGAUAGUGAACCAGUACCGUGAGGGAAAGGCGAAAAGAACCCCGGCGAGGGGAGUGAAAAAGAACCUGAAACCGUGUACGUACAAGCAGUGGGAGCCCCACCACCAAAGCAUUCUCU